UAUAGGUUAGAGACCUAAAAUGCGGCCCAUUAUCAUUAUUUUCAUACUAAUUAAUUAAAAGAAAGACGCUCUAAUAAUAAUUACCAAGACGCACCCAAUCUUAAACAAUAUAACUUCCAAGACCAAGACCAACCGUGGCAGGACGCACCCAACCCAGCACUGCCCCCCAAGCUUUGCCCCCGCCCCGAGUGACAGCUCUCGCCCCCCGCCCAUCACUGUUUGUCUCGCUGUAAAAAGGCUCUGGGAUGUAGACGCGCCUGUAAAUGGCCUGCCUCUGCUCCCUGUAAUCUUCCCCAGGCUGGCACGCGGGUAUUUACGAAGGUGUCAAGGCAGGGGCCGCAGACUGCACUGUCAGAGCCACCAGUGGUGCUGAUGCCGGUGCUGAAGCAAGUGGCUGAGGUGGGGAGCUUUGUGGCAAAGAGACAGCAUACUACUAUUUGUAUUCCAAUGGCUACCACUGUUAAUGGUGCUGGAGUGAGAGUUUGAGGCAGGUGCUGUGCUCAAUGCUUGCUUCAUCCUUGAUGCCUUUGACUGCAGGACUCCUUGGUGCUUCCUUGACUUUGCCUGCUUGCUCAGUCUCAGAGUGUGGCAUCAGGGGGGAACCAUGCCACCCACCCCAGCUUCCCCGGGGUUCCUGCCAGACCAGCCACCUUCUCAUAUCAAGAAUAAUGUUUCACUGGAGACAGAAAGGUUGGGCUGCAGCCUAAGUGGCCAGGACCAAGGAGCAGAAGCAGACUGUCACUGAUGAGAGAAUUUCGGAUGAUCAAAUCAACCACCACCAGCCCCUUGUUGCUGUUAUCUUCAGCUAGAAAGCAACGGCCCUGCGUAGUGCUGCGCUGGCAGCAUUGCAGGGCCUGAAACCUCAUCAGUGGUAAACGGUAAACAUUGGUGAAAGAAAUAAUGAGUAGCAUGAGUGUGGAAGAAGACUCACUGAAAAGAGUGACUCCAACAGACACACCCACUUAUUCUGGUGAAAAAAAUCAUGAAUGCCUUGAGUGUGGGAAAAAGUUUAGUAAGAAGAGUCGCCUCAACAGGCACAACCUUAUACACACUGGUGAAAAAAAACAUGAAUGUGAAGUUUGUGGAAAACGAUUUGCUCAGAAAAAUCAUCUCAAGACACACAACCUUAAACACACUGGUGUAAGAAAUUUUGAAUGUGAAAUUUGUGGAAAAAGAUUUAGGCUCAGGGGUAACCUCAACACACAUAGCGUUACACACACAGAUGAAAGAAAUUAUGAAUGUGAACUUUGUGGGAAGAGAUUCAAGCUCAAUGGUGACCUUACUAAGCACUAUCACUGGCAUACUGGCGAAAAAAAUCAUGAAUGUGAAAUUUGUGGAAGAAAAUUUCGUGAGAGGUGUAACCUCAACAAACAUCUAGUUACACACACUGGUGAAAAAAAUUAUGAAUGUGACAUUUGUGGGAAAAGUUUUACUCAGAAGGGUACCCUCAAAAGACACUCAUUUUUACACACCCGUGAGAGGAAUUAUGAAUGUAACAUCUGUGGAAAAGGAUUUGUUGAUAAAACUACUUUCAAUACACACACACGCAUUCACACUUUUGAGAAAAAUUAUGAAUGCGAAGAGUGUGGGAAAAGAUUUGGCUUGCAAUCUGCGUUGAAUAGGCACGUCUUCAGGCACUCUGGCCUGAGAGAGUUUAAAUGUGAUGUUUGUGGAAAGUAUUUCAAAACAAAACAAGAUAUUGCCCAACACAUGAAGAUCCACUUCUGAGAUGUUGUGUGGUGGGUGAUGGUGGAGAUGGUGGAGGAUAGUGUCUUCCUUAAAGAAUACCAGAUUAAAUAAACAUUUAUUGGAGGAAAUUAAUAGUCAUAGCGUGACACCAUGAUAAACGUAUCACACUUUUCAACUCAGGCUGCAUGUGAUUGGUGAAACUGUUGAAAUUAACUUGGCCAGAGUCUCUUUCCUGUCCUCAUCAAGUGUAUAUAAAACACCCAGAGAUUAAGGAACAAAUUUACUGAAAUUCCAAAAUUUUAAUUAUGCUGUAUUUGUAGAUCAAUCUAUUUUAAUUGAUAAUAUCAAGCAAGGGUAAAUAAUUUCUUUGUCACAGGAUGAGAAGAAACUGAUUUUAAACUGUUAUACUCAAAGCUUUACCCAAAAUUGUAGAUCAUUGAUAGAUUCUAAGAUGUUCCAUCAAGUUAGCAAUGUUACUGUAACACCAACUGAAUGAAAUUUAUUUCAGCUUUGUAGCAUUUAGUCCUGCAAUUAUGAAAUAUCCAUUCCAACCCAUAACUUCCAGCCAGUAUUCACUGUCACAAUCAUGAUUGUAAGAGCUUUUCUUGCUACUGGGAAAGUACCAUCGAAAAUUUCGAUGCCAAAGUCAAUUUAAUCAUGUUAAGCCGCUGUAUUGUACUGCUUCUGGGAAGUUUACGUAUGAUUUGUUAUUAUCUACGUACGUAAUGUACUUGAUUCUAGACAUGUCUACCAUGUUUGCAGAUGGAAUGCACAUGAACCUUCUUGAGAGAAAAUGGAUGUAUAAAAGGGCAUACUCAUGAAGCAUCAAUUAGUUGGGAAACUUGGGGGCAAACACUAAGUUUGCCCUCAGUGCUCAUCUGUCACAUUGGCCCUUGAACCUGUGAUGGAUAAGAACCCAUUACCACAAGACACAGAGUCAGUGUGACAUCUGGAGUACUCUAGAAUCCUUGUUCAGACCUAGGCACUCAUCAGGUAGCAGGCAGUCAGUGAGGCGAAACACAUGAAUUGGGAAAGGCAACAACACUGACACAUUUCCAGUUGUGACUGUUGUACUGCUUCAGAAAUAAAGACCACCGUUCAUCA